UGGGGAAUUUUGGACAAUGGGGGAAACCCUGAUCCAGCCAUCCCGCGUGUGCGAUGAAGGCCUUCGGGUUGUAAAGCACUUUUGGCAGGAAAGAAACGUCAUGGGUUAAUACCCCGUGAAACUGACGGUACCUGCAGAGUAAGCACCGGCUAACUACGUGCCAGCAGCCGCGGUAAUACGUAGGGUGCAAGCGUUAAUCGGAAUUACUGGGCGUAAAGCGUGCGCAGGCGGUUCGGAAAGAAAGAUGUGAAAUCCCAGAGCUCAACUUUGGAACUGCAUUUUUAACUACCGUGCUAGAGUGUGUCAGAGGGAGGUGGAAUUCCGCGUGUAGCAGUGAAAUGCGUAGAUAUGCGGAGGAACACCGAUGGCGAAGACAGCCUCCUGGGAUAACACUGACGCUCAUGCACGAAAGCGUGGGGAGCAAACAGG
rnacentral:rRNA from 1 species